rnacentral:rRNA from 1 species
CACAUGCAAGUCGAGGGGCAGCAUGAACUUAGCUUGCUAAGUUUGAUGGCGACCGGCGCACGGGUGAGUAACACGUAUCCAACCUGCCGAUGACUCGGGGAUAGCCUUUCGAAAGAAAGAUUAAUACCCGAUGGCAUAGUUCUUCCGCAUGGUAGAACUAUUAAAGAAUUUCGGUCAUCGAUGGGGAUGCGUUCCAUUAGGUUGUUGGCGGGGUAACGGCCCACCAAGCCUUCGAUGGAUAGGGGUUCUGAGAGGAAGGUCCCCCACAUUGGAACUGAGACACGGUCCAAACUCCUACGGGAGGCAGCAGUGAGGAAUAUUGGUCAAUGGACGAGAGUCUGAACCAGCCAAGUAGCGUGAAGGAUGACUGCCCUAUGGGUUGUAAACUUCUUUUAUACGGGAAUAAAGUGAGGCACGUGUGCCUUUUUGUAUGUACCGUAUGAAUAAGGAUCGGCUAACUCCGUGCCAGCAGCCGCGGUAAUACGGAGGAUCCGAGCGUUAUCCGGAUUUAUUGGGUUUAAAGGGAGCGUAGGCGGACGCUUAAGUCAGUUGUGAAAGUUUGCGGCUCAACCGUAAAAUUGCAGUUGAUACUGGGUGUCUUGAGUACAGUAGAGGCAGGCGGAAUUCGUGGUGUAGCGGUGAAAUGCUUA